rnacentral:lncRNA from 1 species
AGUUGACUUUGCGGAGAUAUGGAAGGCGGCUUUGGCUCGGAUUUCGGGAGCUCCGGCAGCGGGAAGCUGGACCCGGGGCUUAUCAUGGAGCAGGUGAAAGUGCAGAUCGCCGUGGCCAACGCGCAGGAGCUGCUGCAGAGGAUGACGGACAAGUGCUUCCGGAAGUGCAUCGGGAAGCCGGGGGGCUCCUUGGACAAUUCGGAGCAGAAGUGCAUCGCCAUGUGCAUGGACCGCUACAUGGACGCCUGGAACACCGUGUCCCGUGCCUACAACUCUCGGCUGCAGCGAGAACGAGCCAACAUGUGAUCGCGACGCGCCAGCAGCCCACUUCCCACCCCACCCCACUCCCAGUUCCAUCUCCAUAAAUGCUGUUUGUGAGGCGGGGGCCAACGUGUGCGUGCUGCCUGCCAGAAGUUUAUGAGGACCAGACUGGUGCUGGGACAGUUGGUAUUCUGUCUCUCCGUGCCCCGUUCGCGCACACGUGCCGGCGAGUGUAACUUGCGUCUGGGGGGCCCCUGGCCCGGGUGGUGCCUUCCCUAGUGCCCCUGUUACCGAAUUGUGUCAUAUGGACCCUGUUGGGGGCCGGCUUAGGCUCUAUGUCUCCUAGGGGGUGUUCUUUUUCUGUUCCGUGGAGCCUGAAGCUGAGAUGGACACAGCACAAGCUUUAUUCAGCAGUUAAAGUAUGGAGACGCGUGAACAAACGAACUCACAGAUCAGCUUCUUAGCUGGCGAGAGGGGCUUAAUUUUAACAAGGAGGCCUGUGUGUAUGUCUACGCGGGAAGGGGCUGAGCUUUUUCCGAGGGAGUGGGGUGCCACCUCUUUUUUAUCUUUUUUGGUCUUUAAUGUCUGGUCGAGGCUGCGGAUGCGUGUGUUAUUUAAUAAGCUAAUGUAGUAAAAUCCACACAUAAUGAGACAGCGUUUGUUGGAAGUCAGAUUUGCCACCAUUUUCCUCCCAGCAGGGUUUCGUGGUUUUGUUUUUGUGUGUAUGUGUCUUCGUGUUCUAUGCAUUAGGAUUAACUGAAAGUUAAUCUUUAAAGAUUUCUGUUCACUCCUACUAAAAGGUGGGGUGGUGGUUGGCAGGUUUUGAGCAGGGACCUCCUUCCUGCAAAAGGUCAGGGUGGAUAGGUUGUGAGGAAAGGGCUGGAGCAGCUCUGGUGACAAACUACUCCCUUCCUUAUUAUUGCUCAUUCCUUUUUUUUUUUCUUCUUUUUUUUUUUUUUUUUUAAUGGCUGCAGGUGAGGCCUAUGGAAGUUCCUGGGCCAGGGAUUGAAUUCAAACCAAAGGACUUCCCUUGUGGCUCACAACAUAACUACAUGGUGUUGUUUCUACAGUGGCUGUGGUUCUGUCCCUGGCUCGGCAAUUUCCAUAUGCUGCAGGAGUGGCCAGUUGUUAUAAAAAAAACAAAAAGAAGAAGAAGAAGAAUGAAUCUGAGCCAAAGCUAUGACUUACGUUACACCUGUGGCAAUUCAGGAUCCUUUAACCUGCUGUGCCAGGCCAGAAACUGGAGCCGCUGCAGCCAGAUUCUUAAUCUACUGUGCCACAGUGAAAACUCCCUGCCCUCAUUCUUUUUUUUUUUAAUUUUUAAAUUUUAUUUAUUUAUUUAUUUAUUUAUUUUUGUCUNGCCACAGCAACAAAGUCAACCUUGGGGAGUUCCCGUCGUGGCGCAGUGGUUAACGAAUCCGACUAGGAAUCAUGAGGUUGCGGGUUCGGUCCCUGCCCUUGCUCAUGGGUUAAGAAUCCGGUGUUGCCAUGACCUGUGGUGUAGGGCGCAGAUGCAGCUCAGAUCUGGCGUGGCUGUGGCUGUGGUGUUGGCCAGCAGCUGUAGCUCCGAUUCGACCCCUAGCCUGGGAACCUCCAUAUGCUGUGGUGUGGCUCUAAGGAAAAAAAGAAAGUCAACCUUUUUUGGUUUUUCUCCUCCUUUUUUGGCUGCAUGGCCAUAGAGCAUACUCCAUAGAGUUCUCAGGCCAGAGAUCAGAUCUGUGCCACACUUGGGACCUAAGCCACAGCUGUGGCAGCAGUGUGCCUGGCUGGGGAUUGAACCUGCAUCCUGCCGCUGCAGAGACAUCACCGAUCCAAUUGCACCGCAGCAGGAACUCCAGAGAGUUAGCCUUUUUACCCCCCACAGUCAGGUUCAGCCGAGGCUCCUCCAGGUUCUCUGCUUCUUUCACGUGUAUGACCAGUGAGCAUGAGCCAGGACACUGUGUCCCUUAGCUCCCUUCCAGUACCAUUGGGGCACCCCUGUCCAGGGGCCCUCCUGCAGGCGGUAUGGAUGCUGAUUGGCUUGGAGCCCUUCUCUCCACUGUGGGCAUGGUCUUUGAAACCCAGCGCAGUUCGUCCAUGUCACUGGGUUGGGGGUGCAUCAUCACUGGAAGUUGGUUGAUCCUGAAUCCCUGAAGCCAGAACACUGACAGUUCUUUCUCUUCAUCUAUCCUCCCUGGCAUCCACCUCCAGAUCCCUAACAUCCAAAAUGCAGACCCCACCUCUGGCACGGCGGGCCCUCCCUCCAACUUCUGUCACUUUCUCCUGUUGUCUGGGUGCUCUGGGAAGUGAAAUGGAGCUUAAAGUGGCCCUCCCUUCCACUGCCCCCAGGUUCACAUUUGUGUACACGGGAAGGCCGAGGGGUUUUCCUCCCGCCCCUGGAUACCACCCUGAGCCCUAUUCCAGUUGAUAGGUUUCUUCCCAGCCAACUGAAUGCCCUUAGGAAUCAAAUCCUGUGGAGUUCCCUGGUGGCAUAGUGGGUUAAGAAUCUGGUGUUGUCAUUGCUGUGGCUCUGGUUACAGCUGUGGCAUGAGUUUGAUCCCUGGCCUGGGAACUUUCCCAUGCCAUGGGGAAGG